AAGAGAUAUAGGCAUCUCUAUGUCAUUGUACUCAAUCCUCUCUUGCACAGGAGACAAAAUAGCUGGUAGAGAACUGUAAGAGAAAAAUUAAUUGCAUUUUCAAGGAUUUGGGAAGGCAAAGUAUUUUCCAGGAUAAGACAAAGGAGGUUAUUAUUGCUUUUUGGUCCUUUUUUAAAUGAAUAAGGAUGAAAAGAGGAGAUAAAACAUGCAAUUCCUUGGUUCAGGUUCCAUUUCAGCCUGCUUUUUCUCACCUAGAAAGUAUCUGAUGGACAGACGGGGAUUGUUGUUGUGGUUUUCACCCAAAUAUAGCACCUAGAUCUCAGCUUUUUGCUUCUUUGUUUAUCUGAUUUUUCUUUCUUAUAUGCUUGUUUCUUUGUUAUCUGAUAUUUCUUUUGCAUCUUACGCAACCAAAACUUUCAGCACUCAUUCUUUGCCACCUGUCACUCCUCAGAUCAUUCCUUUCCCAGUCUUCAUUGAUGUGAAUAUUGUUCGUGCUAUCCAAGGGCUCUCCUCCACAUUAAACCUAAUCCAAGCAGUCGUGUCCAUGACUGAAACCCUCCUGGUAGUGCUGAUGAAGAGGCAAGAGGCUUAAAGAUUCUCAUGUCUUUUUGCUGUCCCUGCUGAAUGCUGUGCCCAUCAAAGUAACUGAAUCUUAAUUCACAUUGGCUGCAUCCAGCUCCAGAGGCAAAUUCCACAUGGAGAUUUCAACCCAACUUUUCUUUCUAGGGAGAUCAAGAAGAGGAGGUUGGGAAAAUGCUCACAUGCUGUACUUCAGCUUUUUCCUUCCCUGCCCUCCUGUACUUCACACCCCCCAGAUUUGUGGAUUCUUUGUGGCAUCCCACAUUUUGAAAAGACCAUUUUCCUGGAGAGCAGGAGGCACAAAGCUGGAGCAGGAGUGUCAAAGGUGCCUACUCACAUCCACAGUUUUACAGGAAGAAAACACAUGAGGACCACAUCAUGGCCAAGGUCCCAAGAACUAGGUGAGUAAAACAAAGAGGGGAGGAAAUUCAUUGCCCCACGAACCAAGUCUGGGACACCAAAUUUAUUUAACCAUAUCCCCCAAGCUUGUACAUCCAUCGCUUCAAGUUUUCUUAGGGAACACUGUGGGCUGCACUGCAGAGGGCUCAGUUUCAACUUUCAGUUUAAAGCUUGGUUUAAAGUGAGAGAGGGCAAGAUUAGA
rnacentral:lncRNA from 1 species